AUUGAACGCUGGCGGCAUGCCUUACACAUGCAAGUCGAACGGUAACAGGUCUUCGGAUGCUGACGAGUGGCGAACGGGUGAGUAAUACAUCGGAACGUGCCUAGUAGUGGGGGAUAACUACUCGAAAGAGUGGCUAAUACCGCAUGAGAUCUACGGAUGAAAGCAGGGGAUCGCAAGACCUUGUGCUACUAGAGCGGCCGAUGGCAGAUUAGGUAGUUGGUGGGAUAAAAGCUUACCAAGCCGACGAUCUGUAGCUGGUCUGAGAGGACGAUCAGCCACACUGGGACUGUGACACAGCCCAGAGGCCUACGGGAGGCAGAAGUGGGGAAUUGUGGACAAUGGGCGAAAGCCUGAGCCAGCAAUGCCGCGUGCAGGAUGAAGGCCUUCGGGUUGUAAACUGCUUUUGUACGGAACGAAAAGCCCCGGGUUAAUACCCUGGGGUCAUGACGGUACCGUAAGAAUAAGCACCGGCUAACUACGUGCCAGCCGCCGCGGUAA
rnacentral:rRNA from 1 species